GACGAACGCUGGCGGCGUGCCUAACACAUGCAAGUGGAGCGACGAACCGGGGCUUGCCCCGGGGCAGAGCCGCGAACGGGUGAGUAACACGUGGGUGACCGGCCCCGAGGACUGGGACAACCCGGCGAAAGACGGGCUAAAACCCGAUGUGCCCCAGGGGGGAAGGGAGGCUUCUUCCUCCCCAUCGGGAUGGGCCGGCCGCGCAUUAGCUUGUUGGUGGGGUGAGGGCGUACCAAGGCGACGAUGCGUAGCGGGUCUGGGAGGACGAUCAGCCACACUGGGACUGAGACACGGCCCAGACUCCUACGGGAGGCAGCAGUGGGGAAUCUUGCACAAUGGGCGAAAGCGUGAUGCAGCAACGCCGCGUGCGGGAAGAAGGCCUUAGGGUUGUAAACCGCUUUCAGUUGGGACGAGGCUUAGUACGUGAAUAGCUGUCUGGAGUGACGUUACCUUCAGAAGAAGCGCCGGCUAACUACGUG
rnacentral:rRNA from 1 species